GCCUGUGUGGUGUAGUGGUUUGAGUGUUGGCCUACCGCUCCAGAAGACAAGGGUUCAAAUCCCUGUUCAGCCA